UACAGAGGUCCCAAGCGUUGUUCGGAUUCACUGGGCGUAAAGGGUGCGUAGGUGGCAGGGUAAGUUUGAUGUGAAAUCUCCGAGCUUAACUCGGAAACUGCAUUGAAUACUAUCUUGCUUGAGGGUUGGAGGGGGGACUGGAAUUCUCGGUGUAGCAGUGAAAUGCGUAGAUAUCGAGAGGAACACCAGUGGCGAAGGCGAGUCCCUGGACAACUCCUGACACUGAGGCACGAAAGCUAGGGGAGCAAACAGG
rnacentral:rRNA from 1 species